AGUGCUAGGUGUUAGGCCCUUUCCGGGGCUUAGUGCCGCAGCUAACGCAUUAAGCACUCCGCCUGGGGAGUACGACCGCAAGGUUGAAACUCAAAGGAAUUGACGGGGGCCCGCACAAGCGGUGGAGCAUGUGGUUUAAUUCGAAGCAACGCGAAGAACCUUACCAGGUCUUGACAUCCCAGUGACCGCUCUAGAGAUAGAGUUUUUCUUCGGAACACUGGUGACAGGUGGUGCAUGGUUGUCGUCAGCUCGUGUCGUGAGAUGUUGGGUUAAGUCCCGCAACGAGCGCAACCCUUAUUGUUAGUUGCCAUCAUUCAGUUGGGCACUCUAGCGAGACUGCCGGUAAUAAACCGGAGGAAGGUGGGGAUGACGUCAAAUCAUCAUGCCCCUUAUGACCUGGGCUACACACGUGCUACAAUGGUUGGUACAACGAGUCGCAAGUCGGUGACGGCAAGCAAAUCUCUUAAAGCCAAUCUCAGUUCGGAUUGUAGGCUGCAACUCGCCUACAUGAAGUCGGAAUCGCUAGUAAUCGCGGAUCAGCACGCCGCGGUGAAUACGUUCCCGGGCCUUGUACACACCGCCCGUCACACCACGAGAGUUUGUAACACCC
rnacentral:rRNA from 1 species